rnacentral:rRNA from 1 species
AUUGAACGCUGGCGGCAUGCCUUACACAUGCAAGUCGAACGGCAGCACGGGAGCAAUCCUGGUGGCGAGUGGCGAACGGGUGAGUAAAGUAUCGGAACGUGCCCAGUCGUGGGGGAUAACGUAGCGAAAGUUACGCUAAUACCGCAUACGAUCUAUGGAUGAAAGCGGGGGAUCGCAAGACCUCGCGCGAUUGGAGCGGCCGAUAUCAGAUUAGGUAGUUGGUGGGGUAAAGGCUCACCAAGCCGACGAUCUGUAGCUGGUCUGAGAGGACGACCAGCCACCCUGGGACUGAGACACGGCCCGGACUCCUACGGGAGGCAGCAGUGGGGAAUUUUGGACAAUGGGCGAAAGCCUGAUCCAGCCAUGCCGCGUGCAGGAUGAAGGCCUUCGGGUUGUAAACGGCUUUUGUACGGAACGAAAAGGUUUGGCCUAAUAAGCUGAGCUCAUGACGGUACCGUAAGAAUAAGCACCGGCUAACUACGUGCCAGCCGCCGCCGUAA